GACGAACGCUGGCGGCGUGCUUAACACAUGCAAGUCGAACGGAAAGGCCCUGCGUUUGUGGUGUUCUCGAGUGGCGAACGGGUGAGUAACACGUGAGUAACCUGCCCUUGACUUUGGGAUAACUUCAGGUAACUGGGGCUAAUACCGUAUAGGAUCUCCUGCUGCAUGGUGAGGGUUGGAACGUUUCGGCGGUUGGGGAUGAACUCGCGGCUUAUCAGCUUGUUGGUGGGGUAGUGGCUUACCCAGGAUUUGACGGGUAGCCGGCCUGAGAGGGUGACCGGCCACAUUGGGACUGAGAUACGGCCCAGACUCCUACGGGAGGCAGCAGUGGGGAAUAUUGCACGAUGGGCGGAAGCCUGAUGCAGCAACGCCGCGUGCGGGAUGACGGCCUUCGGGUUGUAAACCGCUUUCGCCUGUGACGAAGCGUGAGUGACGGUAAUGGGUAAAGAAGCACCGGCUAACUACGUG
rnacentral:rRNA from 1 species